CCUACGGGAGGCAGCAGUAGGGAAUCUUCCGCAAUGGACGAAAGUCUGACGGAGCAACGCCGCGUGAACGAUGAAGGCCUUCGGGUCGUAAAGUUCUGUUGUUAGGGAAGAACAAGUGCUAGUUGAAUAAGCUGGCACCUUGACGGUACCUAACCAGAAAGCCACGGCUAACUACGUGCCAGCAGCCGCGGUAAUACGUAGGUGGCAAGCGUUGUCCGGAAUUAUUGGGCGUAAAGCGCGCGCAGGCGGUUUCUUAAGUCUGAUGUGAAAGCCCCCGGCUCAACCGGGGAGGGUCAUUGGAAACUGGGAAACUUGAGUGCAGAAGAGGAAAGUGGAAUUCCAAGUGUAGCGGUGAAAUGCGUAGAGAUUUGGAGGAACACCAGUGGCGAAGGCGACUUUCNGGUCUGUAACUGACGCUGAGGCGCGAAAGCGUGGGGAGCAAACAGGAUUAGAUACCCUGGUAGUCCACGCUGUAAACGAUGAGUGCUAAGUGUUAGAGGGUUUCCGCCCUUUAGUGCUGAAGUUACGCAUUAGCACUCCGCCUGGGGAGUACGGUCGCGAGACGAGUAACGUACGAAGUUAGUUAGUAGCGUUGAGAGNGCGACGACGACGACGAGGAGGAGGAG
rnacentral:rRNA from 1 species